UGCUGGAAGCAGCUCUGAUGGGGACAUCUCCUUCCCUGGGAGAUGCACUAAACUGAGCUCCCUGCUCCCGGCCCAGCUAUAGGGUGACUUUUCUCCAUGCUGUGCUCACCUUGAGGAUAUGGCCCCCAGGCUUGGCCUGGCUCUGCUCAUCUCACACAGAGGUGAGGCUGCCCAGAGAGCUGUGAUUGCCCUAUCCCAGGAGGUGCCCAAGGCUGGAUAGGGCCCUGGGCAGGCUGAGCUGGUGGGGAACACCCAGCCCACUGCACAAGGUUGGAAAUAGAUCAAUUUGAAUGUUUCCUCUAACCAGGAUUUAGUUACAGGGGCGGAAUUUUUGGCCCCGUGCAGCCACCUCCCAGUCUCACCCUGACACAGAGCUGGCAGGGGCUCGUUGGCACCACAGAAAGGAAAGCACCCAGAGGAGGGCAAGGCUCAGCUCAACACCUGCUCAGCUGGCCCAGGGGACACAAACCCAUCAGAACUUUGCUUCUGGUGCAGGGCAUCACCUGUGCUGCCACCCGAGGGAGAUGUAGUUGGAAUCAAGGGAGAAGACCUCUGUGUCUGACCAAAACCAACCAGUCCACUCAAUUCUCCAGUUCUGGCUGGUUUAUCUGAUGCUUAGGAGCAAUCUGAAGCUCAGGAUUAGAAGAGAAAUUAUUCAGUGAAUAAUGAUUCCAUGAUUUGGAACAAGUAACAUGAACUUGGGAAACUUCAGUACUUGCUGGUUGAUCCCAGGGAGAAAAGAGAGACUUCAGUGCCUGAACUGUUUGUGCUGUUGACUAUGCCAGUGAAGCAUGAUGGAAGAUAGCCAAAAUUUUUGCCCUUUUUCCACCUAAGCAGUUUUCCUUUAAAAUUAAUGUGGAUGCCAAUAUCAGCCCCUUUGCAGUGCUGGGUGACUCUGAGCCUAAACAUUUCCUAAUUUGCUGUCCUGUCCAACAGCACUGUGGAUAUUUUGGAUCUUUGCAAGUUGUAACUGAGAGAGAAGUGAAGGGUUUUGCUCAUCCAAGGUCCUAUUUUUGCACUUGAGAUGGUAGCCCUCCCUAAAGGACCUAAACACUCCAAGAUGGGAGAGUGCUUUUACUGCGAGAGCAAAACAGAAUUAAAGCAGCUGUGCAAAUCGAGGCAGCAAACUGCAAAGCCCAGCAGCUGGUGGUUGAGAACGCCGAGGUGCAAAGACUGGGAGCUGAGAGCCCUGGGGACGAGGCAGGUCUACAUUUGCUGAACCAAACUCACUUCACAACACUCAUUUUCUGCCCUGCUGAGAGCCACAGCUCCCAGGGGAACACCUCAUCUGCAGGGACUCAUGUUGAUGUCACUCAUCCCAUGGGCUGCACAGCACCCAGCGAGGCAGGCAUGGGGCUGAGCCGACGCAGCGCGGCGCUCCCUCCUGCACACAGCAGCAAUGGUGAAAACCCUGCUGGGACUAACACACCUUUAAUUAACGGCAAUUUGGUGGAAAAUCCUGUAGCUUCAAAACGGCCAUGUGAAGAAUUGAGGCGUGCUCUCUUGCUCUGGUUUAUUUUAAUCGUGUGCACAGGGAUUUAUUGAGAAAUCCUGGCGGUGUUUUUGAGCAUUAGGUGGCUCUCUUCAUUACAAAUCCACAGGUUUAUGUGCAUUGGGUAAUGGACUUCUGACGGAAUUUGGAAACUGGAAAGAAGCCAGGGCUGGGGAGUCCUCAGGGCGUCACAGCUGGCACCCAAGGAAGACCAAAAAUGGAGAGGGAAAAAGUUAAUGAAAACAUAUAUUUGUAUAAACAAUCAAUGAAGACCGUGUUCGUGUGUUAAACAACCACCUUGAAAUUGGUCUGUCUCUGAGGACUGAGCAAUUGCAGACUACCUUAGCAUGAAUGAUUUAUGACAUUCAUGAACUUGGCAACUGCAUCAGUUUUCCUAAACCUGGCAGCAAACACCACCUGCAUAUUAAGUGAAGAUUUAUGAUUUAUAAAACUCACCUCAUUAUGCAGAGGAACAUGAAUUGUCUUAUGUGUGCAGUCUAUAACUCCCGGGACAGAUGAAAAGGCAGCUAUGACACACAAUUUAUGUGCUCUGGCUGCUGAAGUUUGUAAGGGAAAAAUAGGCAGAAUAACUGGGUCUUUGAGUUGGAUAUGUUCAAAGCUGCUGAACGACGCGGUGGCUAAAAUCACCUGCUUCCUUGGAAGAAAAAAAGGCUUUGCAAAGAUUAAUGGUGGAGGUCACGCAAAUCAAUGCACUAAAUGAUGCCCUCUCUCCAAAAAGCACAGGGAGAGGAAGCAUGCAGAUGCCUCCACGGAAAGCACGCACUGGGCAUUGAGCUUGUUGGCUGUAUUCCUCCCCGUCCUUCCUGGUGUCCUUUUAUGAUCUUCCUCACAUCGGGAUGCAGGUUGCUGGUUUCAGGGAGCAGCUCUGCCACGUUUGUUUGUGUGUUUGUAGCUCAGGGUGGAAGCCCUGUGCUAUG